rnacentral:lncRNA from 1 species
GUAAAAGGACAAUUUGGAGAAAAACCCCCUAAAACUGCCUUAUUUAGAGCCAAAAAAUAAUUGGGCAGCAAAAGGACACUUGGGCCUGCACAUAGCAGCCCAUGGAUGCUUAUGGACCAGCCCCAAACGCGCAGAUGGACCCGCCACUUCGCCCACUUCAUCAUGGACUCGCAAAGUCCAGCACAUGGCCCACAAAUGCAUGCUUCCACCGAAUUCACGCAUCCGCGCACUCCUUCACCAUGGACCACUCGGCAGAUGGGCUUCGCGUGGACCAAUUCACGUGGACCGACCUCCUCAAU